rnacentral:lncRNA from 1 species
UGAAGCUGAUCAUCUAUCUCUCGAGAUGUAUUAAAGCUGUACUGCAGAAGGAUCUGAGUGGCCUGCGUGCAUUUUGCUGGCGAGAUGGUAGCGUGGGUCACCUGGUUGCCAGAAUCCCAGGAAUUAACAUCGCUGGCGUUGGGGAGAACCCCCGGAGACCGGGCGGAUUCAGAACUGCAGGGAAAAGGAAGAAGACAAUCAUCUUUGGGUUCCAGAACGCCUCACCUGAAGGAUCUCCCCUUCAGAAGAUGUGGACAAAAGAGGGAACACUGAAACAACGAUGGAUACUGACCCUUCUACCGGAGAUCCUGGUUCCUAGUAUAUCAGGGGAAUUGUGUGGGGUAUUAUGUCCACCUUUCCCCUGCCCAUGCCUGUCAUGCACAGUGCACAAGUGUUUCCACAUUUCUUUACUGCUAAUAGGGAGCUGGGACUUGCCUUUUUGCCAUUGGAUGGGCAAAUUCAGGCUCUGAUGGAAAAUAGAACUUUUCCCUCAAAGGAAGCCUGUGUUUUGUGAUGAUCUUUGACUUGAAAGACCAAAGGCAGUAUAUAUCCUUAUAGAGUGUUUGGCCCCCUUUCUGUGGGUGGUAAAUAAUAAAAGUUUAAAUAGUAAUCAAUUAGAGUUAGAUUACUUGCUUAAUGAAUAUUUCUAUGCCCUGUGUUGGGAUGCUACUAAGUAUCCCUUUGCUUUGGAUACUCGCAUGCCUAAGUUUGUUCCAGUUCCUGUGGAAGCCACUAGCAGUUUAAGCUUAUUUAAAGAAAAGAGAGAUUUUAGAAUCUCUGCUGUUAUAGUUGGCUUGGUAGCAACAGCAGCAAUAGCUGCCUCUAUCACUGCUUCGGCCCUUGCCUUGUCUGCUACGGUUCAGACAACACAAACCAUCAAUGACCUUUUGGCAAGAGUGACAUCGACCCUGGACAGGCAGGCCACGGCCAACUCCCAGAUAUAGGGAGGCCUCAUGUUGGUAAACCAACGGAUUGAUCUGGUCCAAGAACAGGUGGAUGUCCUGUGGCAAAUGGCUCAGCUGAGUUGCGAACAUAAGCUGCCUAGCCUCUGUAUCACCUCAGUACAAUUUGAGAAUUUUACAAGAGCAA